rnacentral:rRNA from 1 species
AGUGAACGCUGGCGGUAUGCCUAACACAUGCAAGUCGAACGGCAGCACAGUAAGAGCUUGCUCUUACGGGUGGCGAGUGGCGGACGGGUGAGGAAUACAUCGGAAUCUACUUUUUCGUGGGGGAUAACGUAGGGAAACUUACGCUAAUACCGCAUACGACCUACGGGUGAAAGCAGGGGAUCUUCGGACCUUGCGCGAUUGAAUGAGCCGAUGUCGGAUUAGCUAGUUGGCGGGGUAAAGGCCCACCAAGGCGACGAUCCGUAGCUGGUCUGAGAGGAUGAUCAGCCACACGGGAACGGGGACACGGUCCAGACUCCUACGGGAGGCAGCAGUGGGGAAUAUUGGACAAUGGGCGCAAGCCUGAUCCAGCCAUACCGCGUGGGUGAAGAAGGCCUUCGGGUUGUAAAGCCCUUUUGUUGGGAAAGAAAAGCAGCAGGUUAAUACCCCGCGGUUCUGACGGUACCCAAAGAAUAAGCACCGGCUAACUUCGUG